GACGAACGCUGGCGGCGUGCUUAACACAUGCAAGUCGAACGGAAAGGCCCUGCUUUUGUGGGGUGCUCGAGUGGCGAACGGGUGAGCAACACGUGAGUAACCUGCCCUUGACUUUGGGAUAACUUCAGGAAACUGGGGCUAAUACCGGAUAGGAGCUCCUGCUGCAUGGUGGGGGUUGGAAAGUUUCGGCGGUUGGGGAUGGACUCGCGGCUUAUCAGCUUGUUGGUGGGGUAGUGGCUUACCAGGCUUUGACGGGUAGCCGGCCUGAGAGGGUGACCGGCCACAUUGGGACUGAGAUACGGCCCAGACUCCUACGGGAGGCAGCAGUGGGGAAUAUUGCACAAUGGGCGGAAGCCUGAUGCAGCAACGCCGCGUGCGGGAUGACGGCCUUCGGGUUGUAAACCGCUUUCGCCUGUGACGAAGCGUGAGUGACGGUAAUGGGUAAAGAAGCACCGGCUAACUACGUG
rnacentral:rRNA from 1 species